rnacentral:rRNA from 1 species
AUUGAACGCUGGCGGCAUGCUUUACACAUGCAAGUCGAACGGUAACAGGCCUUCGGGUGCUGACGAGUGGCGAACGGGUGAGUAAUGCAUCGGAACGUACCCAGUGGUGGGGGAUAACGCAGCGAAAGCUGUGCUAAUACCGCAUGUGAUCUGAGGAUGAAAGCGGGGGACCGAGCAGCAAUGUUUGGCCUCGCGCCUUUGGAGCGGCCGAUGUCGGAUUAGCUAGUUGGUGGGGUAAAGGCCUACCAAGGCGACGAUCCGUAGCUGGUCUGAGAGGACGACCAGCCACACUGGGACUGAGACACGGCCCAGACUCCUACGGGAGGCAGCAGUGGGGAAUUUUGGACAAAGGGCGCAAGCCUGAUCCAGCAAUGCCGCGUGCGGGAAGAAGGCCUUCGGGUUGUAAACCGCUUUUGGCAGGAACGAAACGGUGUCCGCUAAUACCGGGCGCUAAUGACGGUACCUGCAGAAUAAGCACCGGCUAACUACGUG